rnacentral:rRNA from 1 species
UACGGAGGAUGCAAGCGUUAUCCGGAUUUAUUGGGUUUAAAGGGUGCGCAGGCGGGAUGUUAAGUCGGCGGUGAAAUUUUGCAGCUCAACUGUAAAAGUGCCUUCGAUACUGGCUUUCUUGAGUGUGGAUGAAGUAGGCGGAAUUUGUGGUGUAGCGGUGAAAUGCUUAGAUAUCACGAGGAACUCCGAUUGCGCAGGCAGCUUACUAAACCACUACUGACGCUCAUGCACGAAGGCGUGGGGAUCAAACAGGAUUAGA